rnacentral:lncRNA from 1 species
GAGAAUGAGUUCUGCACUGUUCAGAAAAACGCUGUAGGCGGCUGUGCCUGUUACACCAGCCCUGCUGCCGAGGUGGAUCCAUGACUGUCUCCUUGUCCAUAGAAGAUAGGUGUUCAUUUGCCCACCUAAGGCCAGAUCCUUCAUGAGUGGUGACUGUUAUGAAUUAGUUCAGACAAAAAUAGAACUUACCACAGGCAAAAUCUGCUCUAUGAAAAAUUGAAGAUGAAAGAGAAGGAGUUUAUGUCAUUUCUUCACAACUUAGAGAUGGAGUACAUUGAGACCUGAGAGAACAACCUGAAGCUCAAGAAGGAGAUAAAUUUCUAUGGGUCUCAGAAACUGCAAGAGAGCUGGGAUUGGCCACAGCGCAAGAAUAGAGCAUCCUGCAGAAUGAGUUGCCACCCCAAGUACCCCUGCUGAGCACCAUCCCCAGCAUCCACAAUCUUCCUUGGAUGAAUCUUUUUUCAUAGAGUUCAUUUCCUUAGGGUGAAUAUGCCCUAACUAGGAAGCCAUGGCUGAUUCAGGGUGUUAUUCCCUUUUCUCUUCAGACAACUCCCCUUGGCAGAGAACUGAGGUUAUUGCACUGCCACCAAGUGUCCAGGAGGAGUAACAGGCUGUAGGUCUGUGCUGCUAAAUGUGUAGAAAGAGAAAGCAGCUGAACAAUAAUUUUAUGUUAGAGUUUUGGUUGAAGUUUUGGUUUUUGUUCUUUGAGUUGUUGCUAUGUCAUUUAGAAGU